rnacentral:rRNA from 1 species
UACAGGGGGGGCAAGCGUUGUUCGGAAUUACUGGGCGUAAAGGGCUCGUAGGUGGCCAACUAAGUCAGACGUGAAAUCCCUCAGCUUAACUGGGGAACUGCGUCUGAUACUGGAUGGCUUGAGUUUGGGAGAGGGAUGCGGAAUUCCAGGUGUAGCGGUAGAAAUGCGUAGAUAUCUGGAGGAACACCGGUGGCGAAGGCGGCAUCCUGGACCAACACUGACACUGAGGAGCGAAAGCCAGGGGAGCAAACGGG